AGUCUAGGCGGCUUGGUAAGUGGGAAGUGAAAUCCUUCGGCUCAACCGAAGACUUGCUUUCCAUACUGCCGAACUUGAGUCCGGGAGGGGAGACGGGAAUUCCUGGUGUAGCGGUGAAAUGCGCAGAUAUCAGGAGGAACACCGGUGGCGAAGGCGCGUCUCUGGACCGGCACUGACGCUGAAGCUCGAAAGCGUGGGGAGCAAACA
rnacentral:rRNA from 1 species